UACAGAGGUCUCAAGCGUUGUCCGGAUUCAUUGGGCGUAAAGAGCGUGUAGGCGGCCAGGUAGGUCGGUUGUGAAAACUGGAGGCUCAACCUUCAGACGUCGACCGAAACCAUCUGGCUAGAGUCCGGGAGAGGAGAGUGGAAUUCCUGGUGUAGCGGUGAAAUGCGCAGAUAUCAGGAAGAACACCCGUGGCGAAAGCGGCUCUCUGGGACGGUACUGACGCUGAGACGCGAAAGCGUGGGGAGCGAACAGG
rnacentral:rRNA from 1 species